UCUUCUUCAAUCUUCCUCUUUCACAAUUUUGAGAUUGAUUGCUCGUGGAGUUGGUCGUUCCAAACUAACUUUCAUCUGUUAACCGCUCGCCAUUUUCUUUCUCCUUUCUUCUUAUUUUUUGUCGCUACUUUUCUUUCUUCUUUCUUUCUUACCUCUGCGCGUCAGUCUCCUCUAUCAAUAGCACAACUCAAGCACGGCAACACCUUCAUUUGCAUUGCAGGAAAUAGAGAGGACGAAAUGAGAGAAGUAUGGCACGAAAAAAGCAUACAAGUCAUUUUCUUUGCCCCAUAUUAUGAGUCCAGGCAUUUGCACAGGAAAUACUUUCACAGAAACAAAAUGAGCUGGAUUCCCACACGGGACAUUUGUUGCCAUUACCACAUUCAUAAGGGAAUGACUUGCAACUAGCCAUCUUUGCAUUGGUCUGUGAUAUGAAAAAGAAAAAAAAAAUCAAUAAUGGCACUCAACGACGGCGGUGGGAGAAGAAAGAAGCACCGAUGACGACUCGCGGUGGCUGUGGGUCAGCUUUCUUCAAGUGAAACUGCAAUUGAAAUGAAAUGAAAUUAUACUUGUGUUGAAAUAAAACUGCAGUGCUUACAAAA